rnacentral:rRNA from 1 species
GAUGAACGCUGGCGGCGUGCCUAAUACAUGCAAGUCGAGCGAACGGACGAGAAGCUUGCUUCUCUGAUGUUAGCGGCGGACGGGUGAGUAACACGUGGAUAACCUACCUAUAAGACUGGGAUAACUUCGGGAAACCGUAGCUAAUACCGGAUAAUAUUUUGAACCGCAUGGUUCAAAAGUGAAAGACGUCUUGCUGUCACUUAUAGAUGGAUCCGCGCUGCAUUAGCUAGUUGGUAAGGUAACGGCUUACCAAGGCAACGAUGCAUAGCCGACCUGAGAGGGUGAUCGGCCACACUGGAACUGAGACACGGUCCAGACUCCUACGGGAGGCAGCAGUAGGGAAUCUUCCGCAAUGGGCGAAAGCCUGACGGAGCAACGCCGCGUGAGUGAUGAAGGUCUUCGGAUCGUAAAACUCUGUUAUUAGGGAAGAACAUAUGUGUAAGUAACUGUGCACAUCUUGACGGUACCUAAUCAGAAAGCCACGGCUAACUACGUG